UCCACCAGGGAAGCUGCCUGGGGGGACGGGGUGAGGGGGGUGGGGCUUCUGGGGGAGGGGUGCCCACCCAUGGACAGGGCUCACCGAGGUAGGGGCGCAUGAGGCGGUAGUAGGCAGCUAGGGUCCCGCUGCUGCCGAAGGUCUCAUGGGCCUUGGUGUAGAGCACGUCCUUCCGGCUCUGGGGGCAGGAGGAGAGGUCCAGGGCCCCGGCCAGCCUGUGGGAGGCGGGAGGCUGAGGAGUUGGUCGCCAGCCCCCCACCCUUCCAACGCUGGGCAUGGCCCUCCCUUCCCAAGCCACAGCUUUCCUCUCACCCUCUGUCCUGGGGGAACAGGGUCCCCCAAAUUCACAUCCACCCAGAACCUCAGAAUGUGACCUUGUUGGGAAACAGGGUCAUUGCAGAUGGGUAAGAUGAGGUCAGACUGGAUCAGGUGGGCCCUAAACCAAUGACUGGAGGCCUUCUAAGAACAGGGAAAGCUGAGGGCUGGGUGCGGUGCUCUCACCUGUCAUCCCAGCACUCUGGGAGGCCUGGGCAGGUGGAUCACGAGGUCAGGAGAUCGAGACCAGCCUGGCCAACAUGGUGAAGCCCCGUCUCUACUAAAAAUACAGAAAUUAGCUGGGCGUGGUGGGCGCCUGUAGUCCCAGCUACUUGGGACGCUGAGGCAGGAGAAUUGCUUGAAUCCAGGAGACAAGAGAGAGGUUGCAGUGAGCCGAGAUCACGCCACUUAACUCCAGCCUAGGUGGCAGAGUGAGACUCCAUCUCAAAAAUAAGCAAACAAACAAAAAAGGGAAAUCUGAGGCUGGGCGUGGAGGCUCACGCCUGUAAAUCCCAGCACUUUGGGAGGCUGAGGCAAGAGGAUUGCUCUGAAUCCAGGAGUUUGAGACCAGCCUGGGCAACAUAGUGAGACCCUGUCUCUUAAAAAAAAAGAAUACGAAAUGUGGACACAGACGGGGGAGAGCGCAGCGUGAGGAUGGAGGCAGAGCUGGGGUUGAUGUAUCCAUAAGCCCAGGGGCGCCAAACCUUGUCAGCAAUGCCAGAAGCUGGAGGAGGCAGGAAGGGUCCUCCCUGCAGGGUUCAGAGGGGGCGGGGACUGCCAGCACCCUGAUUUCAGACCUCUGGCCUCCAGAACUGAGAGAAUAUAUUUAUCUUUAAAAUUACCCAAUUUGGCCAGGUGCAGUGGCUCACACCUGUUAUCCCAGUGCUUUGGGAGACCGAGGAGGGUGAAUCGCUUGAGGUCAGGAGUUCCAGACCAGCCUGGCCAACAUGGGCCACGUCGGAGGCCAGCAGAGCCAUGACCGUGUCCUGGGAGGUGAUGCUCCACUGGCCGAUCUCGGUGCGGGAGUAGAGGUAGACCAGCGAGGUGAUGAGCCGCAGCUGAUCCUCCGGGAGGCCUUGUGGGUAGAUCUGAGCAGGUGGGCAGGGCUAGGCAGGGUCAGCAGAGGUGCCGCGCCCACCGGCCUCCCUGUCCCCACAGCCCAGCCGUGCACCUGUGCGAGCUUGGCCUUGACCACAUGCUGGCACUCAGUGGGCAGCAGGUGCUGCAACAGGGUGUCCAGGUUGGUUCUGAGGAUGCAGCCAUCCAGGCAGGACUCAAGCUCUGCACAGUCGUAGUGCACCAGGAAGAGGUCGUCCCGCAGCGUGGCGGCCGUGAUGUUGCCUCAGACACAGGGUCCCCCUGGGGGGUGUGUGGGGUCCAGGCUGGUAACCGGGGCCUGGGCCAACCACCACUGCUGGCUCUGGGCGCCUUUUUUUUUUUUUUUUUUUUUUUUGUGAGAGAGUCUUGCUCUGUUGCCUAGCAGCAGGGUGCCAAAGGCUGGAGAGCAGUGGCAUUGAUCUCAGCUCACUGCAACCUCUGCCUCCCGGGUUCAAGCGAUUCUCACUCCUCAGCCUCCCGAGUAGCUGGCAUUACAGGCAUGAGGCACCACGCCCGGCUAAUUUUUGUGUUUUCAGUAGAGAUGGGGUUUCCCCAUGUUGGCCAGGCUGGUCUCGAACUAUGGACCUCAAGUGAUGUGCCUGCCUUGGCCUCCCAAAGUGCUGGGAUUACAGGUGUGAGCCACCGUGCCCGGCCCAGGCCCCCUCUUUGACCCCUUCCCCUCCACUUCUGACCUUGGUCAGACCUUGGCUUUCCCUGAGUUCUAACCAAGAACUUGUCCAAACUACUUCUCUGAAGUCAGCCAGGCCCGAGGGAAAAGCUGGACCGGUGAGGUGCAGGGUCGCAGGCCUCAGUGGCCAUCCUGACCUGUGCUGAGCCUGGGCCUGGAGGACACUGGUUUGGUCUUGGACUCCAGGAAGCUGGUGACGAAGCACCUGGCCUCGCGCUGGCCGAGCCUUCCCACCUGGCACGAAGCCACCACGCUGCGGAAGAAGCCCAGGCCCACGGCCUGGCGGGGCAGGUGUGGGCUGAGGUUGGUGGCCCAGGUCCCCGUGCCACGGCCCGCUUGUGCCCACCCCGGGGCCCCCUCCUACCUCCUGCACCUGCGCCCACAGGUGAGGGCUGAUGUAUGUGGCCAGGGGCCCCAGGGCCUGUAGCCCCUCCAGUGUCCAGGAGCCAGGGGGCCUUGUGCACAGAAUGGGGCGCAGUGUUGGGUCCAGGGCAGGCCCCCCGCCCUGGGAGCCCCUGCCCCUCUGUGGACACCCAGCAGGCCGGAGGAGCACCCAGUAGGUGCUUGACCACCCAGCCCCCGACUGGCACCCACGAGAGGGAUGCCCCCACCACAGCCAGCGGGACAGCACCCCAACCCUCUGCCCCCUCGGCCGCAGGACCCAGUGAGGCUGAGGCCAGAGGUCAGAUGUCAGUGGGCUGCGGACAUCGGUGACCUCUUGGGCCGACCCCGGGCUGCCUCCCGUCUCGUCCCCGCCUCCUUGCCCAGCCCUGUGACCCCACCCACCCGAGCGAGGUCUUCCCACCGGCCAGCAGUGAGUUAAGGGCAAUGCGCUGGGCAGCGGUCAGCCGGGGGCAGCGCCGCAGGUUCUCCAGCAUGUGGGGGUCUGCGGCACCGAUGCUGGACGCGUCCAUGUCACACACCAGGGCCCCGAGCAGUUGCUGGUCGGAGGCGCUGAGUCGCAGGCGGGCCACCCCCUGCAGGGCCAGCAGGUCGGCGCCCAGCGGGAGGCUGCCUCCAAUGCACCGGGCCCAUCCUGCCCAGGCGCCCACCAGACAGGCCACAGCCACCCCCCACACGCUCCGGCCCACCCCACCCAGCGCCCACCAGGCAGGCCACAGCCGCACGCCACAGGGCGACCCUCUGGUCGGGUAGAUGGCUCAGCAGCUCCACGUCCCCCUGGGCGGCACGGCGGAUGAAGGCCCGGCAGUCGGCUUCCCGCACCUGGCUCAGGCUACAGAAAAAAUUAGCCGAGCGUGGUGGCGGGCGCCUGUAGUUCCAGCUACUCAGGAAGCUGAGGCAGGAGAAUGGCAUGAACCUGGGAGGCAGAGUUUGCAGUAAGCCGAGAUCGCAGCACUGAACUCCAGCCUGGGCGACAGAGCGAGACUUUGUCUCAAAGAAAAAA
rnacentral:lncRNA from 1 species